GACGACGUCUUCAGUAUGGCGUUGAGACUAAUUUUAGCACUAUUUCAGACAUUGACCUCGAUGCACUGAUUCGUUCGAUUAUCAGUCAAACACAUAAUGCUGGAGUCACACUUGUCCUCGGCAAUCUGAGAAGUAGAGGACUCUCUAUUCAAAGAAGGCUUGUCCGGGAGCGACUGGCAGUAGUUGACCCUGUUGGAACCAUGAUCCGUACAAGACAUGCAAUUAGGAGGAGAGUAUACAAUGUUAGAGGACCAAAUCAUCUAUGGCACAUUGAUUCGAACCACAAAUUAAUUGCAUGGAGAUUUGUGUUCCAUGGGUGCAUUGAUGGUUAUAGCCGGACUGUUAUUUACCUUGAGUGCUGUAGCAACAA